CGAUCGGCCAACGGCAGCGCCAAGAGCCCGGCAGGCGGCGGCGGCAGCGGCGCCUCGUCCACCAACGGCGGGCUGCACUACUCAGAGCCCGAGAGCGGCUGCAGCAGCGACGACGAGCACGAUGUUGGGAUGAGAGUCGGAGCCGAAUACCAAGCUCGGAUCCCUGAAUUUGAUCCAGGCUCCCCGGCGGUCACGAGAUUUCAGCCUGUGCAGGGAUUGGGCGAGAGUUCCGCAUAUGGAGGCGCCCUUGCUGGAGCCUCUCGGAGUGGAGCGCGUUUCCUUCUCCCCACCCUGCCUGAGACCCUUCUCAGUUAAGGCUUUGGACAGACUUUGAAAGGGACCCACCUUUUUUUUUCCUCCUUACAGUUUGUCAAUUUUUGCCCAGUGCCCAUAAUAUUGCGUUUGUGUCAGACAUUGGAUUUCUAUGUUAGAUAUUAAAGAGCUUACUUGUA
rnacentral:lncRNA from 10 species